rnacentral:rRNA from 1 species
AUACGGAGGAUGCAAGCGUUAUCCGGAUUCAUUGGGUUUAAAGGGUGCGCAGGCGGAUUGGUAAGUCAGGGGUGAAAUCCCACAGCUCAACUGUGGAACUGCCUUUGAUACUGUCAGUCUAGAGUAUAGUUGAAGUUGGCGGAAUGUGUCAUGUAGCGGUGAAAUGCUUAGAUAUGACACAGAACACCGAUCGCGAAGGCAGCUGACUAAGCUAUAACUGACGCUCAUGCACGAAAGCGUGGGGAGC